rnacentral:rRNA from 1 species
GACGAACGCUGGCGGCGUGCCUAAUACAUGCAAGUUGAGCGAUGAAGCUUGGUGCUUGCCCCAAUUUGAAGAGCAGCGAACGGGUGAGUAACGCGUGGGGAAUCUGCCUUUGAGCGGGGGACAACAUUUGGAAACGAAUGCUAAUACCGCAUAAUAACUUUAAACAUAAGUUUUAAGUUUGAAAGAUGCAAUUGCAUCACUCAAAGAUGAUCCCGCGUUGUAUUAGCUAGUUGGUGAGGUAAAGGCUCACCAAGGCGAUGAUACAUAGCCGACCUGAGGGGGUGAUCGGCCACAUUGGGAGUGAGACACGGCCCAAACGCCUACGGGAGGCAGCAGUAGGGAAUCUUCGGCAAUGGACGAAAGUCUGACCGAGCAACGCCGCGUGAGUGAAGAAGGUUUUCGGAUCGGAAAACUCUGUUGGUAGAGAAGAACGUUGGUGAGAGUGGAAAGCUCAUCAAGUGACGGUAACUACCCAGAAAGGGACGGCUAACUACGUG